AUUGAACGCUGGCGGCAUGCCUUACACAUGCAAGUCGAACGAGCGAGAGAGAGCUUGCUUUCUCGAGCGAGUGGCGAACGGGUGAGUAACGCGUGAGGAACCUGCCUCAAAGAGGGGGACAACAGUUGGAAACGACUGCUAAUACCGCAUAAGCCCACAGCUCGGCAUCGAGCAGAGGGAAAAGGAGUGAUCCGCUUUGAGAUGGCCUCGCGUCCGAUUAGCUGGUUGGUGAGGUAACGGCCCACCAAGGCGACGAUCGGUAGCCGGACUGAGAGGUUGAACGGCCACAUUGGGACUGAGACACGGCCCAG
rnacentral:rRNA from 1 species